rnacentral:rRNA from 1 species
UAAGGAAUAUUGCUCAAUGGCCGAAAGGCUGAAGCAGCAACGCCGCGUGAAGGAUGAAGGGAUUUUUCUUGUAAACUUCUGUAAGAGGGGAAAAAUAUCUCGAUUUAUCGGGAUUGAUUGUACCUUCAGAGUAAGCCCCGGCUAACUACGUGCCAGCAGCCGCGGUAAUACGUAGGGGGCAAGCGUUGUCCGGAUUUACUGGGUGUAAAGGGUGCUCAGGCGGAUUUGUAAGUCAGAGGUGAAACUCCGGAGCUUAACUCCGGACCUGCCUUUGAUACUGCAAUUCUCGAGUUUGAGAGAGGAGAGUGGAAUAUCUGGUGUAGCAGUGAAAUGCGUAGAUAUCAGAUAGAACACCAAUGGCGAAGGCAGCUCGCUGGCUCAAUACUGACGCUAAAGCACGAAAGUGUGGGUAGCAAACA